CUUGAACGCUGGCGGCAUGCCUUACACAUGCAAGUCGAACGGCAGCACGGGUGCUUGCACCUGGUGGCGAGUGGCGAACGGGUGAGUAAUACAUCGGAACGUACUUUAUCGUGGGGGAUAACGCAGCGAAAGCUGUGCUAAUACCGCAUACGCCCUGAGGGGGAAAGCGGGGGAUCGCAAGACCUCGCGCGAUUAGAGCGGCCGAUGCCUGAUUAGCUUGUUGGUGGGGUAAAAGCCCACCAAGGCGACGAUCAGUAGCUGGUCUGAGAGGACGAUCAGCCCCACUGGGGCUGAGACACGGCCCAGACUCCUACGGGAGGAAGCAGUGGGGAAUUUUGGACAAUGGGGGCAACCCUGAUCCAGCAAUGCCGCGUGAGUGAAGAAGGCCUUCGGGUUGUAAAGCUCUUUUGUCAGGGAAGAAACACCGGCUCUAACACAGUCCGGGAAUGACGGUACCUGAAGAAUAAGCACCGGCUAACUACGUGCCAGCAGCCGCCGUAA
rnacentral:rRNA from 1 species